rnacentral:rRNA from 1 species
GACGAACACUGGCGGCGUGCCUAAUACAUGCAAGUCGAACGCUUCUUUCCUCCCGAGUGCUUGCACUCAAUUGGAAAGAGGAGUGGCGGACGGGUGAGUAACACGUGGGUAACCUACCCAUCAGAGGGGGAUAACACUUGGAAACAGGUGCUAAUACCGCAUAACAGUUUAUGCCGCAUGGCAUAAGAGUGAAAGGCGCUUUCGGGUGUCGCUGAUGGAUGGACCCGCGGUGCAUUAGCUAGUUGGUGAGGUAACGGCUCACCAAGGCCACGAUGCAUAGCCGACCUGAGAGGGUGAUCGGCCACACUGGGACUGAGACACGGCCCAGACUCCUACGGGAGGCAGCAGUAGGGAAUCUUCGGCAAUGGACGAAAGUCUGACCGAGCAACGCCGCGUGAGUGAAGAAGGUUUUCGGAUCGUAAAACUCUGUUGUUAGAGAAGAACAAGGACGUUAGUAACUGAACGUCCCCUGACGGUAUCUAACCAGAAAGCCACGGCUAACUACGUG